GAAGGAGAACAAGAAAAGAGAGCAGGGAGUAAGGUCCCAAGCAGAAGGAUCAGUGGGCACAAGACCCUAAAACAGAAAAUGGGUUAGUAUGUUCAUUUAGAGAAAGUGUUCAGUGUCACCGAGAUGUGCAGGGUCAGGGAACAGGUAGGACAAGACAGGAAAAAGGGAAGAGGCCAGAUCGGGCAGGCCAUGAACGAGGGUUAGACUUUACUGAACAUACAGUCCAUUAAGGUUGUCAAAGAGUAGUGUAUAAUGAUUCAAAGUCUGUUUAAAAAAUUACUCUAGCUCUCUUUUGGCUGGAAGCAAGAGGAAAAAAGGGAAGUCUGGCCACUGCUGUGAUUCAGGAAUGAGUGGAGAACGGCUGGCUCAGGACUGGAGAGAAACUGUCAAAGGUUUUCUGGAAUGAUCCAGCAUAAGCCAACCUUACUGGAAACACUUGUGACUCCCUCCUGCCUGCCUCAUGGAGGACAGCCCUCAGCCAGUGGCAUGCUGGAGCUGAAGGACAAUCACUCUAGCUUCCCUGCCUCCGAGGAGAUUUUCCAUCUUUCUCAUUUGACUUCAUUCCACUUGUUUGCUGUAAGCAAAGCAUAAUGCUGGACUUUCUGCAAGUGUCUGAUGGCCCUUGGCCUGUUUUCUACUUCACCUGCAUUGUACCUUCAGAGGCAACCGGUGACUUCAGCUUUUGACAUUUUCCAGAGUUUUGCACCAAGAAUUGGCUGGUUAUUGCUGGACACUUUGCUGCAGAAUCUUAAAGUAUAUAGCAGAAUCUUAAAGUAUAUCAAUCCAGCAGGGUAGUAGGAAUGAUUAAAUGAGAUAGCUUACAUAAAUCUUGUAGUCCACGAAUUGGCUGGUUAUUGUUAUUCCUUUUCCACCUGCUUUCUAUCUUCUAGAAAUUUCUUGGACACCUCAUUUCUGCCAUCAUUUCAUCUCAUGUUCUCUUACUUUUUAUGCCUUUUUAAUUCCUUGCCAGUACAACACACAUUCUGAAGUGUGUCCUUUAUUUUGCUAUAAAGGACAUUACUGGGACAACUAAUGAAAUUUAAUGAUGGCCCCAGGAUUAGGUAGUGUGGACUAUCAAUAUUAAUUUCUUGAUUAAUUUCUUAAUUUUGAUGGUUGUGUUGUGACUAUGUGGAAGAAUGUCCUACUUGCCCCACCUUAAAUAUUUGGAAGUGAAGGGCCAUGAGUUUGGCAACUUGUUUCCAAAUAGUUCAAGACAAAAGAAGUUCUUUACACUGUCCUUGCAAGUUGUCUGUUUCAGAUUGUUUUAAAAAUAAAACAGUACUUAUUUUUGUUUUAAGGGGGAAAUGGAUAUUUAAUCAUUCUUACACAUGGGUCUAAAAAAAGAGCUUAAAAUGCCACUAGUAAGAUGUGUUUUACAAUGAUGAUAUAAGAGACUAACAGCAACCAUCUGGAGAUCACAAUUUGCUUAUUAAAGAAUGCUCCUGAAUUUAAAUUGCUAGAAUUUUUAAACUACAAGAAGCAAAAAAAGAGGCUUCUACAUAUUACUGGUAUUUGUGUGCAAAACAAUGGGGAAAAUUGCUAUUUAAAACAAAACCCAGCGGGAGCUAUUUCUAGGGUUUAGACGGUGACGUUUCAUAUCUGUGAUAAAUGGUCAUUUUAGAAAAAAGAUCUUUAAGGGUGAUAUGGGCUGAAUGUUCACAUGUUGAAAUCUUGUUUCCACCCUGCCCACCAUGUAAUGGGUCUAGGAGGUGAGGCCUGAGAGGUCAUUGGGGUCGGAUGGAGGUCAGGACAGCAGAGCUCUCACAGCCACCAUUAGCGCCCUUCUAAGAGUUAGGAGUUGCUAUUUUUUGCUGUCCGUCAUGUGAGGACACAAUGAAAAGUCAGCAGUCUGACUCAGAAGAGGGCUCUCACCAGAACUCUACCACGCUGGCAUUUUGACCUGACUUCAGCCUCCAAAACUGUGGAAAAUUAAUUUCUGUUGUUUGUAAGCCACCCUGUCUGUGGUAUUUUCUUAUGGCAGUCGCGACACAGUAAGACAAAAAUGUGUCGGACACUGCUAAUAUCCUACUCCUUACCUGUUUUUCCCACUGUUCUUAUAAACAGAAUUCCAGCCUCACUUUGAGCAACAACGCCGAGCUUAAACACUUCGCAGCCUCUCUUAGAUCCCGCUGUAUCCCCAGGGCACCACGAGGUCAGACAGACCCGGAGGGAAGUGUGCUGGACAGGUUGGGGAGAGAACCAGUUUCCCCUUCCCUCCAGUCUGCACGGUGGCUGUGCCUCCUGGGGAACAGCAGCCCAUCUGUGACUCAUCAGGCCACAGGCUGGAUAAUAAAAGUCAACAUGACAUGGGCAGCAAUCUAAGGGUGGCAAAGAAAGAAAAGUAGCCUGGGUGCUGGAUGGCGUUAUUGAGCUGCCGUGCCAAUCCUGGGCUUCCUACUAGUGUAUUCUUUAUUAAGAAAAACAAUGAACCCUAUACAUGUUUAUGUCGCUGGAUUUUCUCUUAUUUGCAUCUGUAUACAUUAUUAACAACAAUUUUGAUGUUUUUUUUUUUUUUGGUAAAAGAUUGAGAUGCAAGAGAGUAGAAUUAAGCAAUAGAGCAAAAGGAAUCUUGUGUUUAAGAUUGAUCUGGAGAUCUAGGAGGAGCAUGUUGGGGCUGACAAGCAAAUACAAAGUGGUAGGAAGAGACUUAAGACAUAAUCUAG